rnacentral:lncRNA from 1 species
GGAGCAGCUUCAGCCCAGACCCCCAGUGCAGGUGCUGCUCCAGCCCUGAAGCAUCCCACAACCAUGGCUGGCAGAUGCCAAGGGGAUGUGUGAGAUGGCCCAGCUCCAGGAUGAAACUCAACUUUAGGGAAGCUGGGGAGAGCCUCACAGCGCUGGACAAGCCAUCAGAUGGCACUGCCCCCAGGGACACACCCGGGGGCGUGGACAGGGAUAUGGAGGACCUAAGGCAAAGGGUGGCUUCAAACGUGACAGCAGAUCAGCCGCUGGGGAAAUACCAGAGGGGAUUUGACAGCUGGGCCAGGUGUUCCAGGACAGCACUUUCCAAAAGAUUUUCCAUCCAAACUUCCAGCAAGAAGUAGAUCUUCCAUCGUUAUCCAGAGCAUAUCUACGCAUUCAGAUGAAGAAAACAACACUGACAUGCAUUAUCUCCCAACACCAACCUCAACCCAGCCCUGGAGUGUGAGCAGAGCCAGCAGCAUUUCCAGCCCCGCCUCUGGAGGAAGGAGAGGAACCUGAGACUCUUGGGUGACCUGAGGCGUCUCUGGCAGCACCAGCAAAAGAGCCUGGCCCUGGCCGCCCAGCACAGGUGCUCAGUCCCUCCUGACUGCCACUGCUCCCUCAACACCAAAGCACAGGGUCGCGAGAUGUUGGGAGAGGGUCGGGGAUGCUGGGCUGGGAGAGGACCGGGGGCCUGUCAGAAGCCAUGACAUGAUGCACUCACCGCUCAGGAGGAAGCUACUGGCCUUUGAGUGAAAUCUAUAAGAAUGAACUCUGGAGAUGUAUCGUACAACAUGGAGUCUACAGUUAAAAACUGUAUUGUAUACUGGAAAAUUGCUAAGAUUAGAUCUUCCAUGUUCUCACUACAAAAGCAUAAGUAUGUGAGAUGACGGACGUGUGUGUCAGCUUGAUUUAAUCAUUUUGCAGUGUGGCAAAGCAUCGCACUGUAGGUGGUAAAUAUAUAUACAGUUUUGUCAAUUAUACCUUCAGGAAGCUGGGGUGGUUGGUGUGUGUGUGUGUGUCUGUGUGAUGUGAGGUCAGUGAGGUGCUGAACAUGGUGCAUUAAACAGCAUUUUCAUUCUUA